CGAACUUGGCAGAGAUGCCUUGGUGCCUUCGGGAACGCUGAGACAGGUGCUGCAUGGCUGUCGUCAGCUCGUGUUGUGAAAUGUUGGGUUAAGUCCCGNAACGAGCGCAACCCUUAUCCUUUGUUGCCAGCGAUUCGGUCGGGAACUCAAAGGAGACUGCCGGUGAUAAACCGGAGGAAGGUGGGGAUGACGUCAAGUCAUCAUGGCCCUUACGAGUAGGGCUACACACGUGCUACAAUGGCGCAUACAAAGAGAAGCGACCUCGCGAGAGCAAGCGGACCUCAUAAAGUGCGUCGUAGUCCGGAUCGGAGUCUGCAACUCGACUCCGUGAAGUCGGAAUCGCUAGUAAUCGUGGAUCAGAAUGCCACGGUGAAUACGUUCCCGGGCCUUGUACACACCGCCCGUCACACCAUGGGAGUGGGUUGCAAAAGAAGUAGGUAGCUUAACCUUCGGGAGGGCGCUUACCACUUUGUGAUUCAUGACUGGGGUGAAGUCGUAACAAGGUAGGCGUAGUGCU
rnacentral:rRNA from 1 species